rnacentral:rRNA from 1 species
ACGGAAAGGCCCUGCUUGCAGGGUACUCGAGUGGCGAACGGGUGAGUAACACGUGGGUGAUCUGCCCUGCACUUCGGGAUAAGCCUGGGAAACAGGGUCUAAUACCGGAUAGGAGCCAUUUUUAGUGUGAUGGUUGGAAAGUUUUUUCGGUGUAGGAUGAGCUCGCGGCCUAUCAGCUUGUUGGUGGGGUAAUGGCCUACCAAGGCGGCGACGGGUAGCCGGCCUGAGAGGGUGGACGGCCACAUUGGGACUGAGAUACGGCCCAGACUCCUACGGGAGGCAGCAGUGGGAAUAUUGCACAAUGGGCGCAAGCCUGAUGCAGCGACGCCGCGUGGGGGAUGACGGCCUUCGGGUUGUAAACUCCUUUCGCUAGGGACGAAGCUUUUUGUGACGGUACCUAGAUAAGAAGCACCGGCUAACUACGUGCCAGCAGCCGCGGUAAUACGUAGGGUGCGAGCGUUGUCCGGAAUUACUGGGCGUAAAGGGCUCGUAGGUGGUUUGUCGCGUCGUCUGUGAAAUUCCGGGGCUUAACUCCGGGCGUGCAGGCGAUACGGGCAUAACUUGAGUACUGUAAGGGUAACUGGAAUUCCUGGUGUAGCGGUGAAAUGCGCAGAUAUCAGGAGGAACACCGAUGGCGAAGGCAGGUUACUGGGCAGUUACUGACGCUG